rnacentral:tRNA from 1 species
GCGGGAGUGGUGGAAUUGGUAGACACGCCAGGUUGAGGGCCUGGUUGGGGCGACCCAGUGGAGGUUCGAGUCCUCUCUUCCGUA